rnacentral:rRNA from 1 species
UACGUAGGGGGCGAGCGUUGUCCGGAAUUACUGGGCGUAAAGGGCGAGUAGGCGGUUAUACAAGUCAGAUGUGAAAUACCAGGGCUUAACCCUGGGGCUGCAUUUGAAACUGUAUAGCUUGAGUGCAGGAGAGGAAAGUGGAAUUCCCAGUGUAGCGGUGAAAUGCGUAGAUAUUGGGAGGAACACCAGUGGCGAAGGCGACUUUCUGGACUGUAACUGACGCUGAGGCGCGAAAGCGUGGGGAGCAAACAGG